GUUUGCAUUUCGGGGGAAAGACGCAUCUCUGAUACUGUCCGAAGCGGCUGAGGAGGAUCCCAUUGCGGCGAGGGAAAAACGCAGUUUGGGCGCAGACGCUCUGACGGUAGGCAGAGAAGACGUUAUUAUGCUGCUGCUGCUGCUGCUGCUGCUCAGCGUGCCGUGUGUGUAUGUGAAUACAGGGAGCGAGCUCUGUGAGGUGGGACAGUCAAAAUGAUGCGUAGGAGGUGAAGCGUUGAGCCGUAUUGAUGGAUGUGUUAACAGAAAGCAGUCUCACAUUGAUUGUGAAGACUUCAGAACCAGAAAAUGCAAGUGCAGAGAAAACAGGGAUAUGUGAGCAGAGCGGUGAUCUGAGUCUGUGCGGCCUUGUUGAUGCUGCUCUCCCUCCGGCCUCAUCUCCUCCUGCCGCAGAGACUUCACAGCAGGCCUGCCAAACUCACCAGAGGACCACGCCCACAUCACCAACACUCUCUGUCCCCCUUGACACUGACUCCUCUUUGAGUCUAACAGCAACCCCUUGCCCCCCCACUGAUGAUGCGCCGACUGUAGUCCCCCAGCUUCAGCACACCCCCACUCCCACAUCACUCCCCACUCAAGCUGUAAGCUCUUGGGACCCAAAAGGAGACACCCAGAAGACGUCUCUUCUGCUGCCUGUUGCACUCCCUCUGUCAACUACAAUGAUGGAGCCUGGCACGGUGUCUGUCCUGACGGAUGAGUGUCUUCUUCAGCCUACACGCACCUGCCUCGGCUGCUUCAUCGAGACCCGGGAUGCUACUGACCCUAAUUCCAUCCAGAACCCACCCCUCGACCCAAACACCAACCAUGACACAGAGACUGGGUUAAGUGUGAGGAUAGGAGAUGUGAGCCGAGAAGACUUCUCUGACAUCAACAAUAUCAGCAUCCAGUGCCUGAGCCAUGCGGGGGAGGCAGUGAGUCAUUAUGGUGAACAGCUCCUCUCUGACCAGCUACUUAGCUUUCCUCUGCCGAAGGCCCCAGGUGAGGGCAAGAGAGAGGAUGAAAACAAAACAGCGGAGGACUGCGAUGACCCUGAGGAUGAUGCGACAGCUAAAAACCUGUAUGAGGGACUGUUAUUGGACAAAGUGAGCGGAGAGGAGGUUCUGCUGGCCAAUGCCAGCCAGGACUGGGGCUACUUUGAAUCCUUCAUCAGCGAGAGUAAAAUGGAACUGCUGGACCUGUGUUCUAAGAAUGAACUGUCAGUAAACCUCUUCUCUGAGGAAGAUGUUGACAAUCUCUUUGAUGAUGAAGACGAUGACUCAACUUUGAGUAGCGAUGUCUGUUCCUUGAAGAUUCGUUACGAGUCUUUCCAGGACAACAUGAGGGAAAAAACCAAUGUGCUCCAAGAAGAGACACAGUUUAACUUCUUCCCGAGUGUCCUGGCCAACUGUGCCAAGAAAGAGGAGGGAGCAGGAGUCUUGAGGAGGAGUGUUGAGGAUGCUCAGCCCAAAACUAAUGAGCUAAUACUGGAGACAGGACAGGAAGAAAAGGUGGGGGACUGCAGUGGUAAGAGCCCCCUUGAUGGUUCCCAAGGGUCACCCAUGUCAACACCCAAAGUCAACUACCUAAUGGACUUCAAUUCAACAGAGGAGUCAGGUGAAUUCAGUGAUGACAGCUCCUGCACUGGCUCCUCCUCAGACACCCUGCAGGAGGGCAGAUUUAAGAAGGGCCACUCAAAGAGAUUGCUCAGCCCAUCUAACCCUCUCAACUAUGGUUUGCGCUCCAAGAGAAAGGUUCGAUACAGUGAUGAUUACUUAUACGACGUUGAUUCGCUUGAAAGUGAGAAGAAUGCAGAGAAAAAAGAGAAAGUUCCUACGGGUCAAAAAGAGGAAGAGGACGUAGACUGGUGUCCUAAAAAGCGUCGGAAAUCAUGUCGGAAAGAGCCACCAGUGGUAAUCAAGUACAUCAUCAUCAACAGGUUCAAAGGAGAAAGACUCAUGUCAGUGAAACUGGGCAGGUUGGAACCUGUGGAUGCUGCUGUGAGUUUAAACACAGAAACAGUAAGCAAAUAUGAGAGACUGGCUCCUCUGAAGGAUUUCUGGCACGAGCGGCAAAGAGAGAGACAGGAACAGCUUAAGCUGGCUGCCAGAGAUAAACAACAACGCGGCGUUCAUCUAAACGGACGCCAUCAUCGUCCUUUUAACUCUAGUCAUCCAAAAAGAAAAUACAAGAUAGCAAACAGGCUUAAGGUUCAGAGGAUUCACACUGUGGAGCAAUCAGCAACAGCACAGGGCUCCCCUCUCUCUGAUCAGGGCCAGAGAGGUGUCAGUAAAGAAGAGGCCACCCCCACGGUAGCAGGAAUAACAGCAGCCCCAGGCCUCCCAGUGACAUUAGACACAAACUCCAUCAUGCACACAGUCACAGCCAAGAGCCGCUCCCAGGAGAGAGAGGAGAGGGAGGGGAGGAGAUUGGGAGGAAAUAAAACAGUCAGGAUAAGGAAAUUCAAAAGCGAAGCCAGGCUGAGGAGCAAGAAAAUGAAAGAGGCAGAAGGAGAGGAGGGGAGGAGCGUGACAAAUGAAACGGAUGCCUGUGUCGCUGCGGCACAGAUUGAGGACCUUACUGCUGAGUUAGAAGAGGCAGGCAUUAGCUCAACCACAGUCAAACCCCAUUUCUCUGACAAUACCACCACAGCUCACACAUCUGAGGAGAGAUUUCCCUUUGUUUCGUCCAACUGCUCUCCUGACAAAGCUCCCUCAGAGGAGGAGGUGGAGGCGGGUGUCCCUGUCAUCCCAGGGGGCUACCUGCAGACCCUGUUAGAUGCUACAGACUCCUCCAGUGGAGCAACUAUCCCUUAUUUCCCCCAGCAGCCCUCUAGGCAGCAGUAUCCACUGGGGCUAUCCCUAGAGGAGAAACAGUUUUCUUCUCUGCAGCUUGCUCAGAGCUGUGUCCUCUCCCCUCCCUCCGAGUCAGAGCUACAACAAUCUCCCCAGAACUGCCCCAGCUUCCCCAGUAUGUGGCACCCACAGCUCUGCCCAAGCCACAGCCAGAGCUUCGGGCCCGAGACCCCCGAGACUCCCAUCUUACCCAACAACUUCCCAGCUACAGUGCCCUUGAAUGACAACAUGCCAGUGUCUAACUACAGCCAGCUGAGCCCUGAGGCUGACAGGCUGCUUUAUGAUAAGAGCUACCUGACUGAGUCUGGGCUGCAGCCUGGGGCAGAUCUGCAAGUGUGUCAGGCUGCCUGUGUGGAAGGCCAGGUGCAAUACCAGAGAGGGUCCCUGUGUACAGACAAUGGCAGGCUCAUCAGCUAUGACUCAGUGGGUUCUCUGUCAGCCUCCUCCAGCAAUUACAGCUCCCUCAGCCUCAAGUCCUGUGAGCGAGAGGGUGAGGAGGAGGGCCGAGACAACUUCUUAGCUCACUGCAGUCCUAAAGUGGUGAUUCAGCAGAGUGUGGAUGCCCUUACCCCACUCAGGGAGUCCUCGGACCUGCUGGACAUUUCCAACUUCACACCUGACAAGUUUAGACACUCAUCACUGUCAGAGCUUUCCCCACCCGAAACCCCAAAUCUGUCCCCGCAAGUGGUGGGACGCGAGAUGAAGAUCUCGGGCAAUGUUGGAGAAUACCAGGAUGUUAAUGACAUGACUAUGGAUUGUAAUAGGGAGGCAAAGUGGAACUGUGAUGUUAUGCAGCAACAAGAGCACACAGCAAAUACAUACACGGUGGAAGACAGCCAGUUUCCACUGCACAACUUUAACAGUCAAGAUGUUUUAACUAUAGAUAAAAAGGAACUGGGAGCUACAGAAUUUGAUGAACAGACCGGUGAAACUUUGGCUGGUGCAAAGAGCAUUAAGUCAAAGAGGAAAGGCAAUUGCAAACAAACAGCUGCAGGACAGGGCCCGAAGAAAGUCCGGGCUCCCAGAGCUGCUAAGUCAGAAAAGGUGAAAACCCCCAAACAGAACUCACGUUCCACCAAAAAGAUAAAGGCCAUGUUGGAGGGUAAGGCAGCAAAGAACCAAGCAGGUGGUGGUGGCACAGGUCUGACUGACAGUAGUAGCACUGGGGAGUGGUCUGGCACUGGCUGGUCAGAGAGCAACAGCCUGGUUGGAGACGACCAGAGAGAAUUUGAAGAGCCCUCCAAUAUUCUGUCCAACAUUGUCUCUGGCAUGGCCGAGGUCCAAAGGUUCAUGAUGGCCUCCAUUGAGCCACUGUGGAAUCCAAUGUCUGAGGCCUGCAUGCCCUCUGAGGCCAAUAGUCUCAACCUAAAGACCCUCAAAAUCUUGGCAGGCACUGAGGCUGACCUGAAGAAAAAAGGAGCCGCGCUAACAGGGGCCGGGAGAGGCAGAAAGGCAGGGGGAAAGGGAGGGAAAAACCAGGCCAAAUUUAAUGCUUCUCAUCCCUUAUUCCCCCAGCUAGCUCUGGGCUGUAACAUGUUUGACAAACCCAACUUUAUUAACCCCGGCCCUGCACACAAAAAGCUCUACCGCCACAAGACCAGUGCAAAGUUCCCUCGAAUUGAGACACUGAAGGGGAAGCGAGCUGAGAGGGACCCAAAUAAGGACUUAGCACUGAUGACCUCUUUUGAAAAACUGAGGUAAUAUUUUGUUAUCAGCUGCUGUUGCACCCCCUUCUCACUAUUCCCAACUACCUGCUCAGCACCCCUCCCAAGCAUACCCACACUGACGCUAUGCCAGAGCUGCAUGAGUACUUCGCCCCCCCCCCCCCUCCCCCCCUCCCCCGACUACUCCCACUUCCUUUUACCCCACUGCCCCCAGGAGGAAAUUAAUAUCUGCAUGAAAAACUUCUUGUACUUUGCAAACUACCUAUUGAGUGAUUGUGUCAAGCUUGAUUGAGAUUUGAAACGACCAUGGCUGCAUUUUUCUUGCUUUCGUUGUUUCUGCCUUGUUUGUUCUUCUUAUAGUCAGUUUUGUUUUACUUUUGUCUGAAAAAAAAAAAGAUUAAGCCUUGAAAACAGUUCUGUCGCCUUUUUGAGGAACUUUGUUUUUGUAUUUUCUCAGCAGAACUAGCUCUCCCCAGAUUAAUGUAUUUAUUACCCUUUUCCCUAAAGAUGUAGCUAUAUACACAAAGCAUUGAGUGACAUCUACACACCCCUCCUCCUCAUCUGUUUUUGUAUGCAGAAUAUGGAUGUCCUGUUGUUGCUGUCCUUCAUACACUGCCUGGCUCAUUUCAAGAGGGAAACCUACAAUUAUUGAGCCCUAUUUAAGCUCAAGACAUCUUGAACACACAAGAUGGGACCAUUUUGUAUUGAUGACAUAUCAGACGUUGUCUUUUUUUCCCCCUCAAGGUUGGAAUGACUGUCCAUUUACUUUUAUCAAGCAUUUCUUUUUCUUCUGGAGUUGAGAGGAACUGGUUAUCUAAAUUUACAUUUUUACGCCUUGCCAAUUCAUAAAAGCUCCACCCUCAGAGUAUUUUUGUCAAUGUUGUUGUACAGGGACAUGCAAUAUUUGCAAAAAAAGAUGAUUAUAAUCUUAAAAUCAAUGUGCCAAAAGUAACAAUGCUGUGUAAAUGACCUCUUAUAUAUGUGUGAAUAUUGGCUGUUCCUCUUUUCUAUCCAUUGGAGUAUUGGCUGCUCGGGUUGGAGACUCCUCACAGAGAUUUGCCACCACAGGAAAUCUUUAUUUGGGACUUUUCUCUCUUCUCUGAUGAAAGGCACCAACAGCUGGCAGUGGUACGCCACCACUCACUAAACCAAAUCAGAAAGACUUUGAAUUCUCCUUGUUUCCCCCACUUUGUUUGCCAAAUUCAAUUUACCUCAACAUCGCCUGGCACUGAGAAGCAACAAAAGAGAGGCAAAGGGGAGAUCUGCUCUGAAGGUUACAGUAGAGGAUGAAGAUGAAAAACGAGAGGCUCAAAUGAGCUUUCUCUGGACCAAGGAAAGGGUAGUGCAGAUGUUUUAGGUGUAUCAGGGUUAGGACCAAGACAAGCUGCUGAUGGGAAGCUCCACAUGGGCUGCAAGCCCAUUAAGUCUGCCUUCUCUCAUUUCUGCCUAUUGUCAAAUUGAAUGUACUUUCUGAGUUCAUAGUUUUUAAUUUUCUUCUCUCUUUUUUUUUUUGGUAAAAAAAUGUGCCACUGUUGAGCUGCCUCAUGUUAAUGGUGCUAAGAAAGCAGACAAUUGUUUUAUUUUAUUUUUUUGAUUCUGUUUGUUUACCCAGAUUUAAAAAAAGAAAUGCAAAGUAGAUUAGGUACCUAACCCUCUUUAUGAAUGUAUAUUAUAAUGUUAUGUUUGAUGUAUUCACUUCAUGAUUCUUUGACAUUGAUUGGAAUUACUUUUGCUCUUUUAAUUAAAAGAUUACCGAGCUUUAUAUAUACUGUCUAGAGUUGUUACAAGAAGGAAUCUUAAUGAACUCUUGACACUACAAAAUCUUGUAUAUUUUUUGUGUGCCAAUUUGUAACAUAUUUUGUAAGUGUAUAUUUUUCUUAGAAAGUGCUGUGAAGUAUUUGUGUGUGUGAGUAACCUUUUAAGCGCCUCUGUGGGCAGUGGAAAGGAUAUAAAAUGACGAGUUUCUGGUUUUAAAAACCAAAAUAUGAAAGUAUCAACAGAAAACUAGAACUAUUUACAUUUUGUUGGGAGUUUUGUAAUAAGACCAUGAUCUUGUUGUGAGAGUGUUGUGUUACUGUGAAAACACAAAUAAGCAAAGAAAAAAAAAUGAAAACUUGGAAAAAAUAUAAUUUGUGAACAAUUUGCUGUUUUAUAGAUUUUCAUGUAAAUUAUUUGAGUAUUAUUUUGUUUUUUUUGUUUUGUUGUAACUGUUGCAAAGGUUUUAAAUAUUUGUGAUCAAGCCUGUACGGUGACAAUGUAAUAUUGGUAACUUGCUGAGUUUUGUAAUAAUGUUUAUGGAGUAAAUAUACAAAUUAAAAUAAGAUUUUGAAUGCUGCUUUCUGAAGAGAGCUGGGUUGUGUUUUUACCUCCCACCCUUUGCUGUAGCCGGAUACUUCAAUAAAAACAACAACAACAAAAA